UACGUAGGUGGCAAGCGUUGUCCGGAUUUACUGGGCGUAAAGAGCGCGCAGGCGGUCAGAUAAGUCGAAUGUGAAAGCCCCCGGCUCAACUGGGGAGGGUCAUUCGAUACUGUUCGACUCGAAGGCAGGAGAGGGAAGUGGAAUUCCCGGUGUAGUGGUGAAAUGCGUAGAUAUCGGGAGGAACACCAGUGGCGAAGGCGACUUCCUGGCCUGUUCUUGACGCUGAGGCGCGAAAGCGUGGGGAGCGAACAGG
rnacentral:rRNA from 1 species